rnacentral:pre_miRNA from 1 species
ACCAAUCUGUGCUUCUUCCUCGUCUACCAGCUCAAUAUCUUUCCUUUCAACUUUUGUUUUGUAAAUUACAGUGUAGUUUACAAAGCAAAGGUGAAACGAAAGAUAUUGAGCUGGUAGAGGAGGAAGAGGCACAGAUUGGU